rnacentral:rRNA from 1 species
UACGAACUGUGCGAACGUUUAUUCGGAAUCACUGGGCUUACAGGGUGCGUAGGCGGCUUAGCAAGUCAGGUGUGAAAGCCCCCGGCUCAACCGGGGGAACUGCGCUUGAAACUGCUGAGCUCGAGUCAGCUAGAGGUACACGGAACUUCCAGUGGAGCGGUGAAAUGUGUUGAUAUUGGAAGGAACACCGGAGGCGAAAGCGGUGUACUGGGGCUGGGUCUGACGCUGAGGCACGAAAGCCAGGGGGAGCGAACGGGG